rnacentral:lncRNA from 1 species
CCUUGGUGGCAUUUCUAGACCAUUUGGCUCAUUUAUGUGACCAUUGCACCAUUUUUGAGCCAAUUGGCUAAGUUCCGUUUCAAAUACUACAAUUGUCACUUCAAUGCCUUUAUUUAUAUCUAAUUAUGCUAUUCCAACUCCAUUUCAUAAAUUUCUACUGGUGCAAUGGGUGGUGGAUGUUGAAAGUAUCCGAAUCACCUUCUUGUCAUGUAUGAACACUAGCUUGUAAUACGAUUGCUACCAUGUGAUGAACAGUUGUAGUACUUUUGUUGUGAGAUAUGUGAUGUUUUCGGACUUUCAUGAGAUGUUUAUAUGCUUGUGAUGUGAAUGCUAUAUGUGGAUGUGUCUAUGAUUUUGUGUGGAUGUAUUCUUGUGAAGUGGAUGAAUAUAUAUCUGUAUAUAUGUGCUGUGAAAAUAUUUCAAAUUGUUGCGAUAAAAUAAAAAAUAAAAAAAUACCCUUUGCCGGCGGCCACAGCCCUCGCCGCCGGCAAAGGCUGAGCGCGGGCACGCAUCAGAUUGUGCCGCGUGUCCACCCUUUGCCCGCGGGCGGCCGCCGGCAAAGGUUGACAGGUGGGCCA